rnacentral:rRNA from 3 species
UUAGGGGGUUUCCGCCCCUUAGUGCUGCAGCUAACGCAUUAAGCACUCCGCCUGGGGAGUACGACCGCAAGGUUGAAACUCAAAGGAAUUGACGGGGGCCCGCACAAGCGGUGGAGCAUGUGGUUUAAUUCGAAGCAACGCGAAGAACCUUACCAGGUCUUGACAUCCUUUGACCACUCUGGAGACAGAGCUUUCCCUUCGGGGACAAAGUGACAGGUGGUGCAUGGUUGUCGUCAGCUCGUGUCGUGAGAUGUUGGGUUAAGUCCCGCAACGAGCGCAACCCUUGAUUUUAGUUGCCAGCAUUUAGUUGGGCACUCUAAAGUGACUGCCGGUGCAAGCCGGAGGAAGGUGGGGAUGACGUCAAAUCAUCAUGCCCCUUAUGACCUGGGCUACACACGUGCUACAAUGGAUAGUACAAAGGGUCGCGAAGCCGCGAGGUGGAGCUAAUCCCAUAAAACUAUUCUCAGUUCGGAUUGUAGGCUGCAACUCGCCUACAUGAAGCCGGAAUCGCUAGUAAUCGUGGAUCAGCAUGCCACGGUGAAUACGUUCCCGGGCCUUGUACACACCGCCCGUCACACCACGAGAGUUUGUAACACCCGAAGUCGGUAGGGUAACCUUUAUGGAGCCAGCCGCCGAAGGUGGGACAGAUAAUUGGGGUGAAGUCGUAACAAGGUAGCCGUAUCGGAAGGUGCGGCUGGAUCACCUCCUUUCUAAGGAA